rnacentral:rRNA from 1 species
GCGGUGGAGCAUGUGGUUUAAUUCGAAGCAACGCGAAGAACCUUACCAGGUCUUGACAUCCCCUGACAACCCGAGAGAUCGGGCGUUCCCCUUCGGGGGACAGGGUGACAGGUGGUGCAUGGUUGUCGUCAGCUCGUGUCGUGAGAUGUCGGGUUAAGUCCCGCAACGAGCGCAACCCCUGUGGUUAGUUGCCAGCAAGUAGCGUUGGGCACUCUAGCCAGACUGCCGGUGAUAAAUCGGAGGAAGGUGGGGACGACGUCAAAUCAUCAUGCCCUUUAUGUCCUGGGCUACACACGUACUACAAUGGCCGUUACAACGGGAAGCGAAGGAGCAAUCCGGAGCAAAUCCCUUAAAGGCGGUCCCAGUUCAGAUUGUGGGCUGAAACUCGCCCACAUGAAGGCGGAAUUGCUAGUAAUUGCAGAUCAGCAUGCUGCAGUGAAUACGUUCCCGGGCCUU